UGAACGCUAGCGGCAGGCCUAAUACAUGCAAGCUGAACGGUAAAUAUUGUAGCAAUACGAUAUGAGAGUAGCGUAAGGGUGCGUAACACGUAUGCAAUCUACCCGCAACAGGAGGAUAGCUCCCCGAAAGGGGAAUUAAUACUCCAUAAUAUCACGAGAGGGCAUCUGAUUGUGAUUAAACUCCAAGGGGUUGCGGAUGAGCAUGCGUCUGAUUAGUUAGUUGGUGAGGUAACGGCUCACCAAGACGAUGAUCAGUAGGGGAACUGAGAGGUUGAUCCCCCACACUGGCACUGAGAUACGGGCCAGACUCCUACGGGAGGCAGCAGUAGGGAAUAUUGGUCAAUGGGUGAAAGCCUGAACCAGCCAUGCCGCGUGCAGGAAGACGGCCUUCUGGGUUGUAAACUGCUUUUGCCAGGGGAUAAAAUACCCAUGCGUGGGGAAUUGAAGGUACCUGGUGAAUAAGCCACGGCUAACUACG
rnacentral:rRNA from 1 species